rnacentral:misc_RNA from 1 species
CCCAGACUGAAAUUAAGACAGGACAAAGACAAAAGAACAAAGAAGCUUUGUAUUAGAGAGGAGGAAGGAGCCGGGGAUCACUGCCUCUGCUCUGUCUGCAACCUUUGAACGCUUAAUCCUGUCCUUUUGCAUUUUAAAGUUGAAAGGGUAUUCUGUGGUUUUAAACUUUAAAGUUACAGUAGAGAGAGAGAGAUGGAUGGUGGAAAGGGAGUGGAAGCAGGCCCAUCCACAACAGGAGUAGUUGGUGAGAAACAAGAGAGGCAAAAGGAAAUGGCAGACAAAGCACUAGCUGAAGCUGUUAUUGAUUAUGAUGAUGAUGAGGAGGAGGAGGCGGCGGCGGCCCAGGAGGUGGUGCAUGAGGAGGAGGUGGCCCGUGGUGUGGCGGGCCAUGAUGAUGAGGUCCAGGUGGAUGUGGAUGGGGAUGAGCCGGUGGAGGAGGAUGGGGACCCGGCGGAGGAGGAGGUGGAUCGUGGUGAUGCAGGUGAUGAUGUGGUGGAGGAUUGCGCAUCUUUGUGUUGUUUCUGGCUGAAUUAUUGGUGGG